AUACGUAGGGGGCGAGCGUUGUCCGGAAUGAUUGGGCGUAAAGGGCGCGUAGGCGGCCCGGUAAGUCUGGAGUGAAAGUCCUGUUUUUAAGAUGGGAAUUGCUUUGGAUACUGUCGGGCUUGAGUGCAGGAGAGGGAAGUGGAAUUCCCAGUGUAGCGGUGAAAUGCGUAGAGAUUGGGAGGAACACCAGUGGCGAAGGCGACUUACUGGACUGUAACUGACGCUGAGGCGCGAAAGUGUGGGGAGCAAACAGGAUUAGAUACCCUGGUAGUCCACACUGUAAACGAUGAAUGCUAGGUGUAGGGGGUAUCGACCCCUUCUGUGCCGCAGUCAACACAAUAAGCAUUCCGCCUGGGGAGUACGGCCGCAAGGUUGAAACUUAAAGGAAUUGACGGGG
rnacentral:rRNA from 1 species